CUUAUCUUCUAGUGAAAUACAAUGUGAAGAAGAGAAAAUUCCGCUGUAAACAUGGUAAGGGGUAUUUAUGCAAAACAUCCAUCCCCUACGGCCUACCCCCAAUCCCCAAACCAUCCCCCGAUCCGGAACCAGAUCCCUCUACGUUAGAGGGACGUCCUCGCACGAUCGCCGUUCAUCCCGCAUCCAACGCUGGCAUCGGCUCUGCGGCCGUCCGUCGUCCUCCCGCUGCCGCCGCCGCGCGCGUCGGAGCCGACGCCAUCGCCGGCGCUACCCGCCACCCCCCCGGCCCCGCCGGCCGUGAGCGACGCGGGCGUCGUAGCCGGUGCCUGCGCUGGCGCUCCCUCCCCCCUUGUUCUCCUCCCACUCCGCCCGCCGGCAACGGGGCUUGAGGUGCCGGCGAAUCCGACCGCGCACGGGCACCCCGCCACCGCCGCCCGUCAGAUCCAGCGGGGAGAGGCUGGCCGUGCCCCCCGCGCCUCCACGAGGGGAUCUGCGUUGAGGGGGAGGACGAGGAGGCUGCGGAGAAGGAAGACGAGGACGAGGAAGGCCCCAGCGCUCGUCGUCGUGCCUGCCUUCUUCGCUCGUUGUCGCUCUUCUGCCCCAUCUCCGGCUACCGCCGUCGCCGUCGCCCCCCGGGUCCCCGGCAUCGUCGCCGCUGUCGUGGCCUCCUUGAGCCCUUGACGAGGAGGGGCCCUUCACCUGAGGCCGCGACGAGAACAAGGACGAGGACGAUACGCCGCUUCGGCUGAUGGGUCGUGGCGGAGCCAGAUCCAAACGCCUUCGACUCCUCCACCCUUGCCGUCGGCUUCCAGGCGGCGGGCAGCAGCAGGCAUCGGAGGUGACCCGGGCACCGAGCAGGAGUUGUUCUUAGCGUGCCUCCUACAACGCGCCGUCGCCCGCGACGUGCUGGUCCCGUCAUCAGCGCGGCGGCGACGCCGAGGUAUGGGAGCCGCGCGCUGGUGGUGGCCAGAUCCGUGCGUCACCUGCGCGCACAGGCGCACAGGCGGCGCAACAGCUGACGCAGCACGGGAACAUCGGCAAUGGCGGAAAGUUGCCUGGUCUGUCACGGAAGCUGUUCCAGAAGGCGCCGUCGGAACACAAGAAGAACGCACUGACGGAGGUCAAGAGCGGUGGCAACACGCGGGCGCUCGCCAUGGUGCUGCGCGGCGAGUGGGUGGACGAGAUCGCUGCACUCCGCCUCCAGUUCGAGCAGAAGGACAUUGAGGUUGAGCGCCUCAAGGACCUGUGCCUGUGGCAGCGGGAGGAGAUCUGGACGCUCAAGGGCGCCGUGUUCUUCCCGGCUACACAACCGGACCACAACCUCACGGGACAGAUCCAAUACCUUGCUGAAAAGAUCGCGGUUAAAACCAAGAAACAUAUGCCAAGAUCAUGCAUGUUUUGAUGACGAAUACUGCUGUUCCCCAAGUACUGUACGCUGGUGCUUAAUGAGAAUGCUUUCUCACUGGCACUAUCGAUCGGCUAGAUGUUCUUGAACUCUUGAAUGCCUGAUGCUUGAUCAGUGUGUCCUACCAGGCAUGAUAUCUCCAGAGUUCAGAUUUGCUUCUUGUGAAUACUGGCUAAGUAAAACUGGUAACUAUUGGCAAUUCGGCAUACAUACUACUGAAAGGACGGUCCUUCCAGGCGUGACAUCUCCAUGUUCCAGAAUUUUUUUGUGUGUUUUCACUAACAAAGGCGGUUAUUCUUUAGACAUUUGGUGCUUUCCCAUUCACCACCGCAUGGAUCUUUUGAUAUACUAUGCAGGUAACUAACAGCACAGGCAAUUAUAUUCUGCUCUUUCAAGAUUUUAGAAUGAUCAUGUCCUUUAGUUUGUAUUUUUUGCAUGUACCAUACGAUUGAUCAGGCUAAAAAAGCAUACCCCUUUGUAAUUGAGAACAUAUUCUGUAAUAGUUCUUUUAGGAUUGCGAACUUCAUUUGUGUUAUAUUCUCUGUUAAGGAAUGUGCUAAUCAGCAGAAGAAUGACAAUAGAGAUUUUUGUUCCCUUCAA